CUACGCAUACGAGGCCGCCAUACAGAUGAUACCCCAGAUAGGGGAAGUACAUAUGCAUGGCAGCAGCGGCCACUUCUCUCCCCUACCCCUAUCUCCGCGCAGCUCCAUGUCCUGCUAGAACCGCUACCAUGGACGGACGGACGGACGGACGCCUUUGCUGGUGUGAGAGACUGAAGCUGCCAGCAUGAUCUGCUCGUCCAGCAUGCGAGCCGAAAACGCGUUCCAUCGCGCGGGGUUAUAUAUCUUGGAAUUUUGGCUCCAUCAGAUCAUGCUGCAGCUUCAUUCUCUCACGGCCACCAACGGAUAUAUAGAGAUUGUUUUCUGGUUUCUCUUGCGUAAGUAGGCGGGCUUGCAUGGAAGCUUCUCAAGAGGUUCUCCAAUGGUGUAUAGUUUGUUGCACUUGCACUAGUUUAAUCCUCUUGCGUAUACGAUCAAAUUAAGAUGGCUUUCUUAGCGGAAGGUAAGGAAAACUGAAAUUUAUGUUUAUUUUUCCUUUUUGACGAAGGAAGAUUGUAAGAUACCCAGUAUAAUAAUUAGGAACCCAAAUUGAAGUU